UACGUAGGGUGCGAGCGUUAAUCGGAAUUACUGGGCGUAAAGCGUGCGCAGGCGGUUUUGUAAGCCAGAUGUGAAAUCCCCGGGCUCAACCUGGGAAUGGCAUUUGGGACUGCAAGGCUGGAGUACGGAAGAGGAGACUGGAAUUCCUGGUGUAGCAGUGAAAUGCGUAGAUAUCAGGAGGAAUACCGAUGGCGAAGGCAGGUCUCUGGGCUGAGACUGACGCUCAGGCACGAAAGCGUGGGGAGCAAACAGG
rnacentral:rRNA from 1 species